CACCGCGGUUAUACGAGAGGCCCAAGUUGAUGACCCCCGGCGUAAAGAGUGGUUAAGAAAUACCUGAGACUAAAGUCGAAUGCCUUCAGAGCUGUUAUACGCAUCCGAGGGUAAGAAGCCCAAACACGAAAGUGACUUUAACAAAUCUGACCCCACGAAAGCUAGAAUA
rnacentral:rRNA from 1 species